rnacentral:rRNA from 1 species
AACGAACGCUGGCGGCAUGCCUAACACAUGCAAGUCGAACGAGACCUUCGGGUCUAGUGGCGCACGGGUGCGUAACGCGUGGGAUCUGCCCUUUGCUUCGGAAUAACAGUUAGAAAUGACUGCUAAUACCGGAUGAUGACUUCGGUCCAAAGAUUUAUCGGCAAAGGAUGAACCCGCGUAGGAUUAGCUAGUUGGUGGGUAAAGGCCUACCAAGGGCGACGAUCCUUAGCUGGUCUGAGAGGAUGAUCAGCCACACUGGGACUGAGACACGGCCCAGACUCCUACGGGAGGCAGCAGUGGGGAAUAUUGGACAAUGGGCGAAAGCCUGAUCCAGCAAUGCCGCGUGAGUGAUGAAGGCCUUAGGGUUGUAAAGCUCUUUACCGGGAUGAUAAUGACAGUACCGGAGAAUAAGCUCGGCUAACUCCGUGCCAGCAGCCGCG